rnacentral:rRNA from 1 species
UACGAGGGGGGCAAGCUUGUUCGGAAUUACUGGGCGUAAAGGGCCAGUAGGCGGCCAACUAAGUCCGACGUGAAAUCCCCAAGCUUAACUUGGGAACUGCGUCGGAUACUGGAUGGCUUGAAUUCGGGAGAGGGAUGCAGAAUUCCAGGUGUAGCGGUGAAAUGCGUAGAUAUCUGGAGGAAUACCGGUGGCGAAGGCGGCAUCCUGGACCGACAUUGACGCUGAACGGCGAAAGCUAGGGGAGCAAACGGG